UCCUUUUUUAGUACUGAAUACUUCUAUAUCCCUAUAGAAUUUUUUAUGUUAAGAUAAGUAACAAGAACCCCUUUCUCUUCCAAUGUGAGCAUAUAACCCAAUUAACACACGAACUAAAUGUAACAACCCCACCGCCCAAAACCCUACAAAACUCUCUGUUAACCUAACACAAGAACAUUUCAAGAAAGAUUAAAAGAAAAAGAAGGAACUCGGCAAACUACGAUUCCGCCUGUUUACCAAAAACAUCGCCUCUUGCAAAAUAUAAGAGGUCCCGUCUGCCCAGUGACUUAGUUCAACGGCCACGGUAUCCUGACCGUGCGAAGGUAGCGUAAUCACCUGUUUUUUAAUUAAAGACCUGUAUGAAUGACUACACGAGAAUCACACUGUCUCCUCUCUCCAAUCAGUGAAACUAAUCCCCUCGUGCAAAAGCGAGCAUUAUUAUAUAAGACGAAAAGACCCUGUGGAGCUUCAAACACCCAACAUCUAUUAUACACAUCCCCGCAUCUACUCCUACAUAAUAUUAUGAUUGUAAGUUUUAGGUUGGGGUGACCAUGGAGCAUAACCUAACCUCCAAAAUGAACUAAAGUUUCUUUAAUUCAGAACCACAAUUCCACAUAUCAGAAUACUGACAUAAAUUGACCCUUCUUGAUCAAUGAACCAAGUUACCCCAGGGAUAACAGCGCAAUCUACUUUAAGAGCACGUAUCGACAAGUAGGCUUACGACCUCGAUGUUGGAUCAGGG
rnacentral:rRNA from 1 species